UUACAGGAGAAAUUGUUGUAAUUAAAACAAGUUGAGGGAUCAAAAGGUAUGAAAGAAAAGUUUAGGGACCCUCUGUCGAUGUAGAGAAGAAAAGAAAGAAAAGAAAGAGGGAAGGAGAAGAAGAAGAGGGAGAAAGCUUGGGUACGUCGGAUUCCAUGGCAGAUGGGGGAGGCGCCCGUCUGGGGCUCAGCGGAGCUGGCGAGUGGUGCAGCUAGCGCCGGCGAGCACGAUGGUUUCGGUGGCAGUAGCUGGCAGCGUGGCAGACGGCGAAUCAAGCAGAGGACGACCGCAGCUUCUCACUAUUGUAGAGGGACUUUUCGGCGACCAUUUCAAGCGAUUCCGGUCUCAAAAUGACCAGCGAGGUGCAAGCCUUCUUUUCUACCCUUAAUCGCGUUGUGGGAUUGCCGGAAAAGAAAGUUGCAGCGAAGGAAAGUUUUCGCCGGCAGCUCGGUUUUUAAGCUUUUCUGGCCAUCUCCGAAGAGGCUAGGCUAAUCAAAGCUCAUCAACGGACUCCCCUCGUCACAAGCUUUUCAAUGACACUAAUGUUGCAGUAAUCGGCCUCUUUUUAAAAAUCAACGGUCGAGAUCGUCCGUAAAUAUCUCCGGACGAUCAGGGAUCGGAUCGAAAAAUAAGAAGCAGGAAUCAUCAUCAGCGCGUCAUUUCGAGUCCGAUGGUGUAUUCGGAUCGUCGAUCGGACUCUUGCAGCUGAAGGCGAGUCGACCAAGCAAUCAAGCGUCUUAGUAAUUUUUCUCUGGCCCAUUGAUUUUAGAAUUCUUUGGUAAUUUAUAUGUUUAUUGAAUUGUGUUGAGUAUUAGAAAAUAUUGUGAGUCAAAAUAUUUGUUUGUCGGACUGCUUGCUAUAGUCGUGAUUUGUGUCGUGUGGCGGAGUCGGAAAAAUAUUGAAGUCUUGAGGACCCGACUCCCGUUGUGUAAAUUGUUGAAUAUUUGAAGUGUUUUCUGGCAGGUCCUGGACCCAUUUUACGAGAGGUAAAUGUCCGUAGUUUAGGGGAGGUUCUGUCGGAUUUACGGUAGAAUUCUUCCGAGUCAAGAUUUUUUUUGACAGUCAGUCCUAGGGAUCUAGCCUAGGGUUAAUUAUCAACUGUUUCAGCGUUAUUGAUAAAUUAUUUUUCGUGAUUAGAUAAAUCCAUCAGUUCUGCUCCCUCCACCCGAGGCAUCGGAGUAGAGUUAAGGGUCGUCAAAGCUAUCCGUGACUGUUAGCCUUCCCGCAACUCUUAUCUAGUAACCUGACUCCUUCAUCAUCUGGUGAUGUAAUUUAUUUGGUAUGUUAACUUGUAAAAUCUUAGAAUCUCCGCAGUAGGAUUAAUAGACUUAUAUGUUGUAAUUCUAUGUAGUUUCGGGUCUCGCCUAAUUCUUCUAGCAGGCCAAAUUAAUCGCGUAAAAUUUAAUAGUUACGCUAAAUUGUGAAAUCAAUAAUAUUAAAUGAGAUGAGAUUUAUUUAAA